rnacentral:rRNA from 1 species
UAAUACGUAGGGCCCCAGCGUUGUUCGGAUUUACUGGGCGUAAAGGGCGCGUAGGCGGCGUGUCAAGUCAAUUGUGAAAUCUCCGAGCUUAACUCGGAACGGUCAAUUGAUACUGAUGUGCUAGAGUGCAGAAGGGGCAAUCGGAAUUCUUGGUGUAGCGGUGAAAUGCGUAGAUAUCAAGAGGAACACCUGAGGUGAAGACGGGUUGCUGGGCUGACACUGACGCUGAGGCGCGAAAGCUAGGGUAGCAAACGGGAUUAGAUACCCCGGUAGUCCUAGCCCUAAACGAUGAAUACUUGGUGUCUGGAGUUUAAUUCUCCGGGUGCCGUCGCUAACGUUUUUAGUAUUCCGCCUGGGGAGUACGCACGCAAGUGU